CUUGACUAGUCUAGAUCUAGAUCUAGUUAGUAGAUCUAGAGUCUAGUUACUAGUUAGUGUUAGAUCUAGAACCUAGUAAUAGCUUCAUAUCGCGCUUACAUGCACACCAGUGCAAUCCAUCUGGUACUUCUUAUGGUGAACAGUGGUUCAGGCAAGACCCAAGUAUAUGGUCUAUAAUACUUGCUAAUUAUAUUGCAAGGGACACAAGAAGACUAGAUGUAACAUAUAAUCUCAAGAAAAUGAUGUGUCUAAAGGAAUGUCAGAUGCUGAUACAGUUUGUGAUCAACAGCAUUGCAGAUUCUUCCUAAGUGAAACCUAAGGGUCACUGUCCCUGAUUUUCCUCAAGGAAGAAGAAAGAAGAUUGGAAGCAACAUGGCUAUCGAAAAGCAGAGACCAUACAAACCUCAUUAGAUGAAGAGUUUUAUUUUUUUGGUAAAGUCCUUGGUUUUGAGCCAGCAGAGAAACAUAGAAAGCUCUGUUUUGACAAUAUAUAAAGCGUGACUUUAGCUCAACUCCUCACCAAGCUUUACAGUCUGUGACAUUUUUUUGGUAAAACUUUUAAUCAGAUUUAUGUAUGAAUACUUAAUUAUGUUAACUACAUGUAUCAAGAAUACUCAAUUCAUAAAAAGAAGCUGCUUUAAAGGAUUAAAGAUAACUUUGACCCUUUUGAGAAAACAAAUUGAAUUAAUUUUGUAAUUCUUAUAUAUUUUUUUUUUCUUCUGAAAGCCACAUAACGACACAAGUAUUUAUUCAAGGUUUUGAAUGUAUGGUAUACUGUUAGGUUUAGUAUUGAGUCAUUCAGUAAAUUGUUUUUGUUUUGUGGUUUUUAUAAAUUAAUAAAUGGAAGUUUAUAUAAUG